AACGCGUAUGCAACCUACCUUUAUCAGGGGGAUAGCCUCUCGAAAGAGAGAUUAACACCGCAUAACAUCAUCGGAUGGCAUCAUCGGAUGAUCAAAUAUUUAUAGGAUAAAGAUGGGCAUGCGUGACAUUAGUUUGUUGGUGAGGUAACGGCUCACCAAGACUACGAUGUCUAGGGGAUCUGAGAGGAUGACCCCCCACACUGGUACUGAGACACGGACCAGACUCCUACGGGAGGCAGCAGUAAGGAAUAUUGGUCAAUGGACGCAAGUCUGAACCAGCCAUGCCGCGCGCAGGAAGACGGCCCUAUGGGUUGUAAACUGCUUUUAUUCGGGAAUAAACCCUUUUACGUGUAAGAGGUUGAAUGUACCGAAGGAAUUAGGAUCGGCUAACUCCGUGCCAGCAGCCGCGGUAAUACGGAGGAUCCAAGCGUUAUCCGGAUCUAUUGGGUUUAAAGGGUGCGUAGGCGGCUUUUUAAGUCAGGGGUGAAAGACGGUGGCUCAACCAUCGCAGUGCCUUUGAUACUGAAGAGCUUGAAUACACUAGAGGUAGGCGGAAUGUGACAAGUAGCGGUGAAAUGCAUAGAUAUGUCACAG
rnacentral:rRNA from 1 species